GGGGUUUUCAUUCUUUUAUAUUUGAAAAUUAAAUAGGUAUCCAAUAGGAAGCUAUUAUUAAAAUAUUUAAGUUGAAGACUAUAAUGUUAAAAGUAUUUUUAUAAAACUAUGUAAAAAUCAGUUUUAUAACUUUUUCUAGAUAAUUCUUUAGAGCAGAGAAGAAGCUGCGAACAUUCUGGAUGCUGCUUCAAACCCUAGUGGCCCACCCUGGCGUUCUUCUACUCAAUCGAUUGCAACUGAUGACCAAGCCUUAGCUUUGCAUUCUGACGUGAAUUUCUCUGGAGCACCUCUGAGGGCAUGAAUGUUCAUCAAAUCAAUAUUUUUUUGUCAGAUGUUGUAGUUGUGACUGCCCCGGUAGUUGUGUAUGGAAAAUGUUGAAGCUUAGAUAAAGUGUAUGAAUUGUUUGACUGAAUGCCUUAAAUAAAUGUUGUCUCAAUACAUUUUUAGCAAGUGCAAAUUGGCAGGCAUUAAGCUUAAUUUCAAAGAUCUUAGCGAACCGGAUUGAUUUAUCCAGACUAAUCCUAGUCUGCAAUAGUUCCAUGGCGGCGUGGAUAAGCGGGAAACUCAAAAUUAAAGAGGGGUCACAGCCAAAAUAUCUGACAAAAAGGGCUACUGUCGAAUCUUCCACAGCUAGUCUGCCAAGAAUAAACUUUAAGGGCUAACUAUAUAAUAGCAUUGCAAAACCCUGUAUGUAUGCAGGGUCUUAAAAAACCAUGUAAUAACAAAGCAAAAAGGCGUAGGAACAUAGAAACUAUGAAAUAGAAAGCCGUUGUUGAACAUCCAGAAUGGACCAGGCGGACUUCAUGAGACUAAGGUUCUCCUCCUCUGUCAAGUGGACAUUAACAACACUGAGCACACGUCCUCUUCCCAGUUGCAUAGGUAGGAUAAGAAAGACCUCUUCUUCAAUUCUGUGAAAACCCUUGGCCAGAACAGAAAUCGGGUGGCUCUUUCUCUGGUUACGCAGCAAACUCCUGGCCAAAUUAGUCAUCGAGUACAUUACAGUAUCUGAAUUUUUAGGGUGAAGGUGUAUUAAAUUCAAUAUGCAAUGGUGGUUUAUUUUCAUUAGCUAGCUAUGUUUUUCAAUUUAUAAAUGCCCAAGGAGAAUGCCUCUAAGGAAUUUAGGAUUUUAAUUACUCUUUAUUGUAUUCUAUACAUUGGCUAAGCAGAUUACCACAAGAAAAUAAGACUCUUUUAUUGACAGGAACUUCACAGGUCCAGAUGUCCAUUUGUCCAUUUUUAUCCUUUUACAGAGUCUUUGAGUUUACAUGA